GUUUGGGAUCCUGGGGAAUGAAUGCUGUGAGGUGAUUUGCCCGUGUCAGUGCUUGGGGCACAUGACGUUUGUGUUCCGGGGCAGGGUGUCAUUUCCCAUUGAAUAUUUUGAGCAUUUACCCAGCCUUCACUUUGGCCCUGUUUGUGUGUUAAGUGAACAGAUGCAUCUUUGAGUGGCCCCUCACAACCACCCAAACUGAUGUGGCUGUUUUGUUUCUACUCAAAGGAAGUCUGUGGCAUCAGCAAACAGGGUAACAGGAGACACAGGGGAGCUAAAGAUUUAGAAAAGGACAGGAAGAGCCACCCAGCCAGGCUGACCGGAGCUACUCCAGGACAGGAAACGGAAGCACGAAAACAGGAAGGUGAAUCCAAACAGCCAGCCGCUUCUCCUGGCUUCUUCCCUAGGCUCUUCCUGUGGUCUGAGCCUGGGUCUAACAACACCGAGUCCGGCCUCUUGGGAGUCUCCUCUAUGAAGCUGUCUCCAUUCCUCCUGCUGGGCACAUGAUGCCAGAAGUGGCUGGUCUACAGGCGGGUGGUGGCUGCAGCGGAAGCAGGGUUGCCUGACUUGUGGAGAGGCUCCAAGGCAGGAUUGUAAUAUCCUGGCCAAAAGAUAGAAAAGGAAUGUUUUCUAUACCCGAGUCCAGCUGUGGAGGGAAACCAGUGCUGUGCCAAAGCACCCACCUCCAGACCCUGUACUUAUUUGGAAGGGCAGCCACAAAGAAGAACCUUCAUCCGAAGUCAAGGUCAAUGUACUGUCCUAAGCCAUUAGCCUUGCAUAGAUUAGUGGGUUAAUACAGAGCUGUCUCGACAGAUGAAUUACACCCAGAAGCUGAGUAGGAGUCCUUGGGCUUGACAUUGAAAGGUCCAGUUAUCAUAGGGAGAGUGAUGCCUGCUUAAUUUUGAUAGGGCUUAAUUAUUGUGAUAAAUGUCCUUGGACUUUAACUCCUUCCUUACCUAUGGACCAUACACUUGUGUCUCCCAAGGAUUCACAUAUGGUAACUAACCCAAAGGGACGGUAUGUGAGGGUCCCUUUGGGAGGUGAUCAAGUUUGAGUGAGUUGACUAGAAGUCAUAGUUCGAUCAGAAGAGAAAGGUUAGAGUUUUCUUUCUUCCCAAUAUGAAGAUGCAAGAGAAGGUAGCUGUCUUCAAACCAGAAAGCCGACCCUACCAGGCACGAGAUCUGCUGUUGACUUGAUCUUGGACUUUUCCAGCACUAUGAGAAAACAAUGUCUGCUGUUUAAUAUGCCCAAGUCUGCAGUGUCUUGUUAUAACUCCUUAAACUAAUGCAGAACCAACAGAAGAUAUAUAAGAGAAGCUAGGGACAGGAGACAUGGGUGCUUGCUGCCAAUCCUGA
rnacentral:lncRNA from 1 species